rnacentral:rRNA from 1 species
CCUACGGGUGGCAGCAGUGAGGAAUAUUGGUCAAUGGACGAGAGUCUGAACCAGCCAAGUAGCGUGAAGGAUGACUGCCCUAUGGGUUGUAAACUUCUUUUAUAAAGGAAUAAAACGAGGCACGUGUGCCUUUUUGCAUGUACUUUAUGAAUAAGGAUCGGCUAACUCCGUGCCAGCAGUCGCGGUAAUACGGAGGAUCCGCGCGUUAUCCGGAUUUAUUGGGUUUAAAGGGAGCGUAGAUGGGUUGUUAAGUCAGUUGUGAAAGUUUGCGGCUCAACCGUAAAAUUGCAAUUGAUACUGACAGGCUGGAGUACAGUUGAGGUAAGCGGAAUUCGUGGUGUAGCGGUGAAAUGCUUAGAUAUCACGAAGAACCCCGAUUGCGAAGGCAGCUUACUAAACUGUGACUGACAUUGAUGCUCGAAAGUGUGGGUAUCAAACAGGAUUAGAUACCCGGGUAGUC